rnacentral:rRNA from 1 species
GGAAUAUUCCACAAUGGGGGAAACCCUGAUGGAGCGACGCCGCGUGAGUGAAGAAGGGCUUCGGCUCGUAAAGCUCUUUUAUCGAGGACGAAUGCCGUAUUGGAUACGGAGAGACGGUACUUGGUGAAUAAGCCACGGCUAACUACGUGCCAGCAGCCGCGGUAAUACGUAGGUGGCAAGCGUUCUCCGGAUUUAUUGGGCGUAAAGCGAGCGCAGGCGGUUUCUUAAGUCUGAUGUGAAAGCCUUCGGCUUAACCGAAGAAGUGCAUCGGAAACUGGGAAACUUGAGUGCAGAAGAGGACAGUGGAACUCCAUGUGUAGCGGUGAGAUGCGUAGAUAUAUGGAAGAACACCAGUGGCGAAGGCGGCUGUCUGGUCUGUAACUGACGCUGAGGCUCGAAAGCAUGGGUAGCGAACA